GCUUUCGACAGGCUUAACACAUGCAAGUCGAGGGGCAGCACAGGUAGCAAUACCGGGUGGCGACCGGCGCACGGGUGAGUAACGCGUAUGCAACUUACCUAUCAGAGGGGGAUAACCCGGCGAAAGUCGGACUAAUACCGCAUGAAGCAGGGGUCCCGCAUGGGGAUAUUUGCUAAAGAUUCAUCGCUGAUAGAUAGGCAUGCGUUCCAUUAGGCAGUUGGCGGGGUAACGGCCCACCAAACCGACGAUGGAUAGGGGUUCUGAGAGGAAGGUCCCCCACAUUGGUACUGAGACACGGACCAAACUCCUACGGGAGGCAGCAGUGAGGAAUAUUGGUCAAUGGCCGAGAGGCUGAACCAGCCAAGUCGCGUGAGGGAUGAAGGUUCUAUGGAUCGUAAACCUCUUUUAUAAGGGAAUAAAGUGCGGGACGUGUCCCGUUUUGUAUGUACCUUAUGAAUAAGGAUCGGCUAACUCCGUGCCAGCAGCCGCGGUAAUACGGAGGAUCCGAGCGUUAUCCGGAUUUAUUGGGUUUAAAGGGUGCGUAGGCGGCCUUUUAAGUCAGCGGUGAAAGUCUGUGGCUCAACCAUAGAAUUGCCGUUGAAACUGGGGGGCUUGAGUAUGUUUGAGGCAGGCGGAAUGCGUGGUGUAGCGGUGAAAUGCAUAGAUAUCACGCAGAACCCCGAUUGCGAAGGCAGCCUGCCAAGCCAUUACUGACGCUGAUGCACGAAAGCGUGGGGAUCAAACAGGAUUAGAUACCCUGGUAGUCCACGCAGUAAACGAUGAUCACUAGCUGUUUGCGAUACACUGUAAGCGGCACAGCGAAAGCGUUAAGUGAUCCACCUGGGGAGUACGCCGGCAACGGUGAAACUCAAAGGAAUUGACGGGGGCCCGCACAAGCGGAGGAACAUGUGGUUUAAUUCGAUGAUACGCGAGGAACCUUACCCGGGUUUGAACGCAUUCGGACCGAGGUGGAAACACCUUUUCUAGCAAUAGCCGUUUGCGAGGUGCUGCAUGGUUGUCGUCAGCUCGUGCCGUGAGGUGUCGGCUUAAGUGCCAUAACGAGCGCAACCCUUGCCACUAGUUACUAACAGGUAAAGCUGAGGACUCUGGUGGGACUGCCAGCGUAAGCUGCGAGGAAGGCGGGGAUGACGUCAAAUCAGCACGGCCCUUACAUCCGGGGCGACACACGUGUUACAAUGGCGUGGACAAAGGGAAGCCACCUGGCGACAGGGAGCGAAUCCCCAAACCACGUCUCAGUUCGGAUCGGAGUCUGCAACCCGACUCCGUGAAGCUGGAUUCGCUAGUAAUCGCGCAUCAGCCAUGGCGCGGUGAAUACGUUCCCGGGCCUUGUACACACCGCCCGUCAAGCCAUGGGAGCCGGGGGUACCUGAAGUCCGUAACCGCGAGGAUCGGCCUAGGGUAAAACUGGUGACUGGGGCUA
rnacentral:rRNA from 1 species